CUGGGAAUCAUCUGCUCAUCGCAGCAAGUCUACUCUCUCAAUUAUAAACCAAACCGCAACAGGUUCAGAACGACAUCAGUGUUCUAGUUUGGGAAUUAAGGAAUAACGUCGUCAAAGGAGGGAUUUGUCCUAAACUAGGAAGAUGAUGAAACGAGCAGCUCCUGAAGCUGCCGCUACCCUCCUUUGCAUUGAACGAUGUCUGUGAGUUAGCCAGCUGAAUAGAGGUUCUCCCUGUAGCCGUUGGUGCUCCCGCUAAGAACGCAGGAUGAUGAUGUAGGACGGACGGAAGAAAUCCUGUGAUAUCCUUCAUCGAAGUCCACCCCCCCUCCGGGAAGCGUAGAGGAUGAAGGAGCAGGAACCUCUGG